rnacentral:rRNA from 1 species
GAACGAGGAUAUAUCCUUCGGGAUAUAAGCCGAGUGGCGCAAGGGUGAGUAAUGCAUAGAUUACCUGCCUCUAGGAUAAGGACAACUUUGUGAAAACGAAGCUAAUACUUAAUAAUACAAAAGAAAAUAAUUUUCUUUUGUCAAUGGGAGGGUAGCAAUACCUUUUGCCUAGAGAGGGGCUUAUGUCCUAUCAGCUUGUUGGUGGGGUAAUGGCCUGCCAAGGCGAAGACGGGUAGCCGGUCUUAGAGGAUGGUCGGCCACACUGGGACUGAGACACUGCCCAGACUUCUACGGAAGGCUGCAGUCGAGAAUCUUUCGCAAUGCCCGAAAGGGUGACGAAGCGACGCCGCGUGAGUGAGGAAGGCCUUAGGGUUGUAAAGCUCUGUCAGGAGUUAAGAAAUAUAAGUGUGUUAAUACCACGUUUAUUUGACGAAGGCUCCAAAGGAAGCCACGGCUAACUCUGUGCCAGCAGCCGCGGUAAUACAGAGGUGGCAAGCGUUGUUCGGAAUUAUUGGGCGUAAAGAGCACGUAGGUGGGUUUGUAAGUCAGAUGUGAAAGCCUUCUGUUCAACGGAAGAAUUGCAUCUGAAACUGCAAGUCUUGAGUGUAGGAGGGGAGAAUGGAACUUCUGGUGGAGCGGUGAAAUGCGUAGAUAUCAGAAGGAACGCCGGCGGCGAAAGCGAUUCUCUGGCCUAUUACUGACGCUCAGUGUGCGAAAGCUAGGGGAGCAAACGGGAUUAGAUACCCCGGUAGUCCUAGCCGUAAACGAUGGGCACUAAGUAGAGGGAAUUACCGAUGUUCUCUCUGCCGUAGCUAACGCAUUAAGUGCCCCGCCUGGGGAGUACGGCCGCAAGGCUAAAACUCAAAAGAAUUGACGGGGGCUCGCACAAGCGGUGGAGCAUGUGGCUUAAUUCGAUGCAACGCGAAAAACCUUACCGGGGCUUGACAUGGUAGAAGUAGGAACCCGAAAGGGUAACGAACGGUAUCCAGUCCAUAGCUAUCACAGGUGUUGCAUGGCUGUCGUCAGCUCGUGUCGUGAGACGUUGGGUUAAGUCCCCUAACGAGCGAAACCCUUGUUUUUAGUUACCAGCGGGUUAUGCCGGGUACUCUAGAAAGACUGCCGUCGUCAAGACGGAGGAAGGUGGGGAUGACGUCAAGUCAUCAUGGCCCUUAUGCCCCGGGCUGCACACGUGCUACAAUGGUCGGUACAAACGGAAGCGAAGCCGAGAGGUGAAGCGAAUCCUAAAAAGCCGAUCUCAGUUCGGAUUGGAGGCUGAAAUUCGCCUCCAUGAAGUUGGAAUCGCUAGUAAUCGCGGAUCAGCAAUGCCGCGGUGAAUAUGUUCCCGAGCCCUGUACACACCGCCCGUCAAGCCACCCAAGCAGGAUGCACCCGAAAACAUUAUAUCUAACCAGGGCAACUUGGAGGAAAGUGUUGAAGGAGUGUUUUGUGAGGAGGACU